CCUACGGGAGGCAGCAGUGGGGAAUAUUGCGCAAUGGGCGAAAGCCUGACGCAGCGACGCCGCGUGAGGGAUGAAGGUCUUCGGAUCGUAAACCUCUGUCAGCAGGGAAGAACGGUCACUGUGCUAAUCAGCAGUGAAUUGACGGUACCUGCAAAGGAAGCACCGGCUAAUUCCGUGCCAGCAGCCGCGGUAAUACGGAGGGUGCGAGCGUUAAUCGGAAUUACUGGGCGUAAAGCGCUCGUAGGCGGUAUGUCAAGUCAAGGGUGAAAUCCCCGCGCUCAACGUGGGAACUGCCUUUGAAACUGGCAAACUGGAGUGUGGGAGAGGAUAGUGGAAUUCCAGGUGUAGGAGUGAAAGCCGUAGAUAUCUGGAGGAACAUCAGUGGCGAAGGCGACUAUCUGGCACAUAACUGACGCUGAGGAGCGAAAGCGUGGGUAGCAAACAGGAUUAGAUACCCGAGUAGUC
rnacentral:rRNA from 1 species